UCUGCCUAUGCGGCAGACCCAU
rnacentral:snRNA from 1 species